UGUCUCAAUACACAUGAUAUGUAUGGCGUCUUUUUCAAUUUAUGUGCUUCAGUUAACUCAAUGAUUAACCUCAGUCAAUCGUAAAUCAAGACGCUUUAAUUAUUGGUUCAACUUUAUUCAUCAAUUUAUGGCUAUUCUGGAAGGAAAUCGUCUUUUAAUUGAAUAGUUGGCUGAAAUUUAAAAUUUGGAAAUGAAACUCUGGAGGCUUCUUAUGGUUCGUAAAUUGGAGGACGAGUCUACACCUGGUAAUUCACGAUUGACUUGUGAAACAAAUUAUUACAAAUUGAUUUCUAGAUGAAUCUAUUUCAGAAGAUCUAUAUCUAGAGAUAUCAAUGGAAAACAAUUUUACAACUUGUAUAACUUAAAGCCAUACAACUAAGCGGUCGUUUCAAUGAAUCUACUUGAGCAAGAUUACAAGACAACUUGAUCUGGAAGGUCACUAUAUAGGAAAUGCCGACAUGCGGAUCCUAUACUUUUUGGUAAACACAACUCACGUUUGCUCCAUCUUUUGACUCAAAAUCAAAUGAACUCAGCUUUUGGCAAAGGCAAUAUAAUUAUCAGAGUUGGAGCUUAUAAUUGGACAGAUUCAUGUAUCGAAGGAAAUUGCUCUUUUAAUUGUCCUGUUUAUGGCUACAAUGAAACCAAAAUGUGAUAGUUAACAACAAUCAAUGAUAAACGAAUAAUAGACGUGCAGAUAAAUUAUGGUAUGAUUGUUGGCAUAUCAAGAACGGCAACGAACUUUUGACUUGAUAAUUAAAUUGUAAACAAAUUAAGGAAACUUACAUCAUAUUGUUGACCUAAUUUUGCCUGGAUAAAAGCCAUCCAAACUUGGGAUCGUAACUCAUUUGGAACUCCAUAUUCUCGAAUAAGAUAUUUCAAAUUAGCACAACCAAUGGUCCACAAUUUAUUGGCUCGAUAGUUGUUGAUUGAAUUUAUCAUAUCAAUCAGUUGAUCUUUCUCAUCUUUGGCUGUUUCUUUGAUGAAACCGAAUUGAUCACAGUUAGCUGAACCUUUACACUCUGAACGAUUAGGAUCACAAUGAACUUUAAUUAUGGGUAUCAUUUGAUUAAAUCUAUCUGAAUGAAGAAAUGUCUAAUUGAAUUAGAAGUAAGCAAAAUGAUUAAACUCAACUAUUGAUUAUAAAUAAAGGUUUUACGAAAACGUGGAAAA